rnacentral:rRNA from 1 species
GCAUAAACCAGUUACAGCAAUUGAUGGAUGCCUUGGCUUCAUCAGGCGACGAAGGACGCAGCAAGCUGCGAUAAGCUUCGGGGAGCGGCACGCACGCUUUGAUCCGAAGAUUUCCGAAUGGGGAAACCCAGUAUCCUUCAUUGGAUAUUACUCCGGUCUGAAUUCAUAGGACCGGUAGAGCGACACGCGGAGAAGUGAAACAUCUCAGUAUCCGCAGGAAAAUAACGAGAAUCGAUUCCGUAAGUAGUGGCGAGCGAAAGCGGAACAGCCCAAACCGCCGGGAUUUAUCCUGGCGGGGUUAUAGGACCACAACGUGGGAUGCGAGGGUUAGACGAACACUCUGGAAAGUGUGACCAUAGCGGGUGACAGUCCCGUAGUUUAAAACCCAGACAAACCUAGUGGUAUCCUGAGUAGCACCGUACACGUGAAAUUCGGUGUGAAUUCGUGCCGACCACGGCAUAAGGCUAAAUACUCGAUGAAGACCGAUAGUGAACUAGUACCGCGAGGGAAAGGUGAAAAGCACCCCUGUUAGGGGAGUGAAAUAGUAACUGAAAUCAAUUGCUAACAAGUCAGUGGGAGCUCCCUUGUGGGGUGACCGCCUGCCUUUUGUAUAA